rnacentral:lncRNA from 1 species
UUAUUCACAGCGACCAAUACUCAUUUCAUCGCAGCUGACCCCUUCCCUGCCUGGACCCUCCACUCUCCAUCCCUUUGACUCUCCUCAUCUGUCCAUCCCUCCCUCUCCCAGGUCAAGGUGAGAGAUAUUCAAGACAGUUGGCAUUGCAUACAGCCCAGUGAUCCAGAGAAGCUCUCUUCCCUUUUUCCUCCUUGGCUGCUGUUCAAAGACGCCUGCUUGCCGGGCCCUUCUUCCUCCAUGCAGACCAUGGCUCUGUCUCCGGGUGGAUCAGAAGUGGAGAGGUGGAGUCUUCCAUGUUAUUCUGGAAUGUGGGAUAAGACAGGGUCCCUUGACAUGGAGGAGAAGCAAGGAGAAUCCUGGACCCUCUUUGGUAAGAACAGCAUGAUCUUCUGACAUUACCCAUUAGGCUGAUAAUCAACACAUACACACACACACACACACACACACACACACACACACACACACACACACACAACCACACACACACAACACAACACACACACACACACACACACACACAUACACACACACACACAGACAUACACAUACACACACACACACACACAAAUACACGCAUACACCUUUUCACACAAUAUAGGAGGCUGUUAUU